CAAGCCUGAUCCAGCCAUGCCGCGUGGGUGAAGAAGGCCUUCGGGUUGUAAAGCCCUUUUGUUGGGAAAGAAAAGCAGCCGGCCAAUACCCGGUUGUUCUGACGGUACGCAAAGAAUAAGCCACGGCUAACUUCGUGCCAGCAGCCGCGGUAAUACGAAGGGGGCUAGCGUUGUUCGGAAUUACUGGGCGUAAAGCGCACGUAGGCGGAUCGAUCAGUUAGGGGUGAAAUCCCAGGGCUCAACCCUGAACUGCCUCUAAUACUGUCGAUCUCGAGUUCGAGAGAGGUGAGUGGAAUUCCGAGUGUAGAUGUGAAAUUCGUAGAUAUUCGGAGGAACACCAGUGGCGAAGGCGGCUCACUGGCUCGAUACUGACGCUGAGGUGCGAAAGCGUGGGGAGCAAACA
rnacentral:rRNA from 1 species